GUCACCUUUCCAGCGAUACCCAUUUUAUUCCCGAAAUCCGGGGAUGCUAUUCUAAAUCCCAGCCAAAAAGAAUUGCAAAAAGUGGGUUAAACAUAGUGAAUUGCAAAAAGUGGGUUAAACAUAGUGAAAUGACGACGACCAUUGUUUUUACAAAUUUUGAUCUUUAAAUAGAAAUAUCUCGAAAACUAUGAGUCUGAGAAGGGUAUACAUUUUCUAGUUAUGAAGGCCUCCUCCAUCCAUCCCUACCAUCAAAUCGCGACGCCAAAAGAAUCGUAAUAUUGCCAAUUGUUUUUUAGCAUUCCAAGCACAGAUAAAAUAAAUUAAAUCGUGUCUCUACAAAAACAACACCAACAUCAAUAAUAACAAAGAAGUUGCGGGUAAAAUACAUAUGUAGGCGACGACGAAGAUGCGGACGAAAUAUUUGAAAAUUUUUCAUCGAGAUUGCUUUGCUUACUAAACACUCGUAGAAGUGCUCAUCUCGGAAUACCAAUGGCGACAUAAGAUCUUUGGUUUUUAGCUGAAUACACACAAAUAUUAAGCAGAAAAUGAUUUCAACGCUAUAGUUUAAAAGUUUGGUGAAUUCAAGUGACACCGAAAGUGAAAAGUGGCAUCUUAAUUAUCGUGAAAACUUAUCCCAUUACAAAAAUAAAAAAAAAACUGGUUUCCGGUGGUCAAAUCGAGUUGGGAAUUUUUCAGAAAAUGGAAGAGUUCAGACAUCAGAAAAAAGAAAAUAUUGUGCGAAAAAGCCACAUGAGUUCACAGAGGAAGAUAAAAGAAAGCUUAAAUUAUCUGCAAUGACAGAUGAAGAAAUCGAGAAAUUGAUGAACUCAACUCUUUCGUCUGAUGAAGAAUCUGAGUACGAAGACGAUGACAACAGCAUAGCUGACCCAGAGUAUGUUGUUGAUCAGAUAUCAACUGAGGAAGACCAAAUCAUAGACGACGUUUUAUGUGAAAUGAACAACAGCGUUGUAGGCAACGAAGUUGGGUUGUCGUUGAAUUUUAGCACACUUAGUGGUGUCUCAUCAGAAAUAGUAGAACCGUAUACAUCCAAACUAGUACAGAUACAGAGGCUGCAACCACUACCAAAACAAGCGAAUUAGCCACGGAGGAGGCCACAUUCGCUACAAGUAAUACCAUCAUUGACAAGACUUCGAUUGAGUUCUCCAAUAUCUUAUGGCGACAAAGAUCUAUGAAAAUGCAUGUGAAUGAAAUUGCGUUCCGUGGAGAUUCUGGGUUACAUUAUGCCGUCAGAAAGCUUAAGAACCCGAUUGAGUUUUUAAAUUAUUUUUUGACUGUUGAACUCAUAGCCGUAAUUGUUGAAAAAACCAACCGAGCAGCGCGGUCAAUAGACAUAAAUACAGAGUUCAUAACUAAUUAUUCACAGAUCCGAAAAUAUCUGGGUGUUUUGAUGUUUAUGUCUACUUUUCGCUAUCCAAAUAUAGAAGCGCACUAGAGUGAAUUUGGAUUUAGACAUAUACCAAAUGCUUUGCCUUGGAAGAAAUUUGUUGCAAUUAAAAAGCAUUUGUCUUUUUCGGAUAAGAGUAAGCGCAUCAAAAGAGGUGAGCCAGGGUACGAUCCAUUAUUUCGAAUAAGGAAAAUUAUUGAUUUUUUGAAUGAACACUUCGAUUCCGUUCCUAAACGAGCUCGUUUAUUUACUGAUGAACAGAUGUGUAAAACAAAGGCCUUGCACCAUUUACAGCAAUAUAUGCCAAACAAGCCCAAUAAAUGGGGUAUAAAGCUCUUGGUGUCGUGCGACAGCAAUGGAUAUGCAUACCAGUUUGAGGUAUAUAAUGGUGCUGGUAAUAACACUAUUUUACCAGACACACCAGAUCUUGGAGCCACCAGCAAUGUCGUCAUUCGGCUAUCGCAAACAAUUCCUGAUUUCGUGAAUCAUAUUCUAUACUUUAAUAAUUUUUACUCAUCACUGCCCCUAAUGGUUUAUUUACGAGCUCGUGGGAUAUAUGUAUUUGCUUUAGGUACCAUUCGAGCCAACAGAAUAUCAAACUGUAAGCUACCAUCCGAUUCAGAUACUGAGCUGAGAAAAGUGGAUAGAGGUUUCGCAGUUGAGUUUUCUGCUACUGCGUAUGAGUUGACUUGACUACGGUUCUCUGGAAGGUCACCAAAAAUGUUCGGCUAUGUUCAACUUAUGUAGGUGUCAAACCAUUUGCAAAAGCGAAUGCUGCUAUCCAGCCGUCGAAAAUUCAUAGAUAUAUGUAAUAGAAAAAAGAGAGAAUACAUUGAAAUAGAUUGCCCACAAAUCAUUCGUGAGUACAACUCUCACAUGGGUGGUGUAGAUCUCAUGGAUUCAUAUAUGGGCAGAAACGGCUUGCAUAUAAAAAACAUGGAUACAAUGACUCGCAUAUUCUAUCAUCUACUAGACAUUUCUGUUACCAAUGCUUUCAUUCUGUACCGUCGAACUAAAUCAUCGCUUGCAGAGGAAGAAAGAAAAGAAAAAGAUUUGACUCUAUACCAGUUUCGUUUACAAUUAGCAAAAUCGCUGUGUGCUUCCACCGACAAACCAACAGUUGGACGUCCAUCAAGCGGAUCGCAGUCAUUUCUUAGCAAUAGCACUAUUGGUGAACGAGCAGUGCACCCCGUAGAAGAAAUAAGCUGUAUCAUUUCAGACUGAAUUUGCAGAAUAUCUGAUGCCGCAGUUCUGGAAUAUAUUCCUUCACGAAUGUUUCUUUUUAAACAUUCGCCUAUGCAUACAGCCGCAGAAGACGCCGAGUCAUUGACGCCCACUUUCGAAUAGUUUUCAUUGUUCUCCAAACUCUCGUUGAUUAGUGCAGCUCAACCAUUUCAAAAAAAAACGAACAUAUUUUAAGAAAAAUAUUUAAAAUAAAAAUGUCUAUUUCUUUUAAGUAACACUCGCUCGUUCCGUAAAUGUGGUUGGCCGUGGGGAAACGGUCGGCGCAAAUGAUUCCACAAAUUGUUAAAUAAAAAAAACAAUGGGUUUCUUAUAAUAAAUAAGUAUAUUUAAUUAUAAAAAUUUGAAACAACACUUACCGCGUCUAUCAGGGCUAUCGCAAAAGAAGAGAGCGCGCAACCUUUUAGUUAUUGUUUAGUUGCGUGCGAAUUAGAACUUCGAAAAACUUCGAAAAAGAGGAAAAUAAAAGAUUGCUCUGCUUAUACAGA
rnacentral:lncRNA from 1 species